GGAGGGGUGCCCGAGUGGUUAAAGGGGACGGACUGUAAAUCCGUUGCUGUAUGCUACGUUGGUUCGAAUCCAACCCCCUCCACCA
rnacentral:tRNA from 1 species